rnacentral:rRNA from 1 species
AUUGAACGCUGGCGGAAUGCUUUACACAUGCAAGUCGAACGGUAGAGGGGGCAACCCCUUGAGAGUGGCGAACGGGUGAGUAAUAUAUCGGAACGUGCCCAGUCGUGGGGGAUAACGUAGCGAAAGUUACGCUAAUACCGCAUACGAUCUAAGGAUGAAAGCGGGGGAUCGCAAGACCUCGCGCGACUGGAGCGGCCGAUAUCAGAUUAGGUAGUUGGUAGGGUAAAGGCCUACCAAGCCAACGAUCUGUAGCUGGUCUGAGAGGACGACCAGCCACACUGGAACUGAGACACGGUCCAGACUCCUACGGGAGGCAGCAGUGGGGAAUUUUGGACAAUGGGCGAAAGCCUGAUCCAGCCAUUCCGCGUGCAGGAUGAAGGCCCUCGGGUUGUAAACUGCUUUUGUACAGAACGAAAAGGUUCCUAUUAAUACUAGGAGCUCAUGACGGUACUGUAAGAAUAAGCACCGGCUAACUACGUG